GUCAAAAAUAGACAAACGAUUGCAGAUACUAGAUCUCGGAGCAAAAACAAACUAGGGGAACAUUCUCUAGAAGGGAGAAGUCGAAGUUUCUAUCCCCUUCAUCAGAUGAGGGAAACCGCUCACCUCUGAACUGCUUCCAAACAUCAGAGCAACAAACUACUCCAACUAAGAACAGUAAUAAAACCAAUCUUUUUCCCUCAAACACCAACAUUUUGUUGACCAACACAACCAUACACUUAGAGCGAUGUCAGCACCUUUUAUACUCGAUAUGUGAUCAGCUGAUAGAAACAUGCAGAUUAAACUAAUUUGCCAGACUAAAUUUCUACGUUUCCCACACAGCUUCAGAACUCAUACCAGUUAUGUUAAAGCUCUGUAUUUGCCUGUUACCAUUGGAUAGAAAUAUCCAUUUUAAGAGGCCGUAGCAUAGUUGGAAUAAACUAUUGACCAAGAGGCGCAGCUAUACCAGAGAAAUCCACUGUUGCCCUUCUGAUCAGCAGCAAUCAAUAAACCUCAAAUAUCGACCAGACUGAUCAUAGAAGCAGGUCCUGCAGCACAUCACAUCUGUACCCAUUUAAACUAAUCCCUUCUGUCUGCAUUUUCUUCAAUUUCCUGCAUAUCUAUCUGCCUACUUAAAAGUCGCUUGAAUGUUAAAUCUUGCCCCAUCGCAGUUUAACAUGAAUCCCUCAUGUAUUCAGCACUCAUACACAAAAAAAGAUUCUGAAAGUUUGUUCUAUCUAGGAUUAUCAUAACUCUAUGAACUUUCAACAUACAGUACUCCCAUGCUCCAGAAGAACAGAGUUGUCCAAACUCUGGUUAUAGCUAAAAUACUUUAAUCCAUCCAGUAUUGGAGGAAACCUCUUCUGAGCACUCCCUAAUGCUCUUUAUUGAAAGUAAUAAAAGCUCUUUAUUGAAUGAAAACAUAUUCUCAAAAAGGAACACAGCCCGAUAUAGCGGGCAGCGUCGUUUUGGGCAGUGGAGUGAGCCGGGAGUAGAGUGGAGACCUAAGGGCUUUGGCGGAACCGUGUGAGGCGAGGAAGACCGGAGCUGCAGAGCUCUCACAGCUAUUUGCAUGAUUGUCGGGUAUGAUGUGAUCAUCAGGCAUGAUGUAUCAUGGCUUAAAGUUGGUUGUUGGUGGGAGCCAAGUGUCCAAUCUACACAGAGGGAUAGAAAGAGCAAUGCCACCCCAUCUGUCUUCCUGCCUGUCCUUUUGAUGCAAUGUGUAAUUCUGGAUAUCAAGCUCCCAGCUGAAAUCUUCCUUCAGCCAUGAUUCAGUGAUGCCUACGUCAUCAUAUAUGCCCAUCUGUGUGUUGGACACUAGUCAUAUAACCAUAUAUCAUAUAACAAUUACAGCACAGAAACAGGCCAUCUGGUUCCCUGGUGCUAGAUAGGCCAACCUAUCUGGUGGAGUCCUAAUUCUCUGUGAGACCUCCACACCCCAUCAUCUAACUCUUCAGGUUCUGAAACUACUGGGGAUACUUCUGGUCUACCUGGCGUGGCCUCCCCCGAUUUAUCACUCAUGUCCACCUGCAACUCGGAUGCCUGUGUCCCAUGAUCAAACCCCACUUCCUCCCCUGCAGCGUCCUGCUGCAACCCAGGUGCCCACAGACAGUCCCCCCCCCCCACUUUACUUGUCUCAAUGGGAGAAGAGCCGGGAGUCUCUUCCUCAAUCAAUGGGGAGUUAGCAUAAGGCAGCAUAUACCACACAUCCAGGUCCUCAUCCUCCGAAUCAGUAUCCCCCGCAGGGGUGGGGGUGGACCUAAUCUCAUCUGUUGGGGGCCCGGUUGUCACCUGCAUUUCCGCAGUGUUCUCCUUUUCACGUACCUCUCUGAUCAGCUCAACAAAAGAUGGAGGGGGUGCGCCUUAUGAGAUUAUUGGAGACCCCACGCAAUCUGGUCAUGGGACUGGGCACCGCUGGCUAUCUGAUCCAUUCUUAACUGCUCCACCUCAGCUGCCUCUGUGCCACAAGCAAUUUAUCUCUAGCUGAAAAAUAAAUGCAGAAAGCUUCUGUCCCUUCUCCUGAUGCAUAUUCUGAAACCCCACCAUGAGCUUCUUUAGGCUUCCAGUUGGGUCAAAAGCAUUGUCUAGUGCUUGCAUGUAAUUGACAGCUGUCACAACCUGAUAUUUCAUCCUGACAGCUUUCACAAUGUCAGUGGCCUUCCCCGCCAUUCAAACUUUCAACCAAUCUCUGUCGCUUUACAUCAUCAGAGCACUGCCACUCACCUAACAACUGAGAGUCCACUCCGCCCAAGGUUCAUACUCCUCCUCCCCUUUACGGGUGGGUGUAUUUCCAGAGAAUAGGUGGAGCCUGCCACAGCUGGGACUUUGAAUCUGAUUUUUCCAUUUAUUCGCCAGAGAGAUAAGGGCAGAUACUAACUCAAAAUCCUCACUCUUCAUCAGAGGACGUGGACUAAUUAGACAUUCCAAAUCUGACCACUCUUUCCCUUCACUCCUUGGAAACGAAAGAACCCUGUCUUUGAAAUCUCCGCCCCCAGCUACCGCUUCCUCAGUACUGGUCUGCAUUAAAACAAAAGCUACACCAGCCAUUUUAUCAAACCUCCAGCUGCAAUUGCAACUUUUACAGUAUUUAACAGGUGAAUUAACAAUUCAUCUGGAGUACAAAAAUCUGCCUCACUGGUUCAUUGCUCAGGGUAAUCACACAGGAUCCAAAGGAAUCAAUCCCAGACAAGCCCCUGCAAUUGUAACUCUCGCUGCGGCCAGCGGCUUAAUAUAGUGGGUGAUAGCCCCUGGCCUGGCCAAACUUAAGAAAUCUCGAUUGGGUGGAUGCUGCGUGAUGUGUCCCCUGUUACAAACAGUACACAAUAUGCAGUUUAACGAUUAAGCUUUAUAAUUCUUACUCUGACUAUAUGGUUAGUAAAGAAAAUGAGGAAAAAAAAGAAAAAGGGCUCAAUCUUAUGAAACAGUCUAUUAUGCAAUGUUGGAGCUUACUGAUAAGCCAGUCAUCAACCAUCAUCCUCCUCCAAUUGUCGCUGCCCCUUGGACGCUCGCUCCAAGUCCACUUCGUCUGGCAGUCUACCAAUUCUCUCCAUUCACAUUGUAGUUCCUCAUCUCUCCCUGGCAAAAGACCUCUAAAAUCUCUUUUCUAGACUCACAAGAAAGAACAACAGCAUUCCAAACCACAUUAUCUCUAGCCAUAACCCAAAAUUUGCUGCUACAGAGAAACCAUUAUAUUAUCAGUGAAACCUUACAGCAUGUUACACAGCAGUGAAACCUUACAGCGUGUUACACUAGUCUCUACAACAAAGUCUAGCUGUAAAUACCCACUGCUUGAGUGGUGGGAUCCCUCCCCUCCCUAGCAAGGAAGAGAUACUUCCAGUUAACAAAGUAGCUUAAACAGUUUAUUUUAUUUAAUUUUAGACCAAUAGUUUUUAAUACAUAAUUAACACUCAGAGUGAUCUAUCAAAGAUUACUGGAUUACAAAAUAUUUAUAAACUACAAAGAAUUUCCAAACACAGAUAGAAUUCAAACUAAAAAUAUACUAACAAGUUGCAGAUGAACAAGUCCUGCACCUUCCUCAUUUUUCCCAGAAACUCACGUCAUUGCUGCUCUGGUGUCACCUCUGCUGGCCUCUCCUUCAAAAUUACUUUGACCAACUCCUGUCUUAUACCACUGUAAUUUCCUUUACUCCAUUGAAAUACUACUAUAUCAGACUUUAUCACUAUCAAAUUUCAAGUUGAACUCAAGCAUAUUGUUGUCACUGCCUCCUAAGAAUUCUUUUGUCUUAAGCUCCAUAAUCACCUCUGGUUCAUUACAUGACACUCAAUCAAGUACAACUGAUUCCGCAAUAACAAACUGCUCUAAAAAGCCAUCUCAUAGGCAUUCGCCAAGCUCACUGUCUUGAGAUCCAUUACCAACUUAAUUUUCCCAAUUGACCUGUAUGUUGAAAUUUUCUGUGACUAUCAUAACGUUACCCUUUUGACAUGUCUCUUCUAUUUCCUGUUGUAAUCUAUGGUCCACAUCCCAGUUACUUUUGGGAGGCCUGUAUAUAUCAGGGUCAUUUUAGCCUUGCAGUUUCUUAACUCAACCCACAAGGGCUCAACAUCAUACAGUCCUUUGUCAUUCUUUACCAGCAGAACCAUAUCCCCACCUACCUUCCUAUCCCUCUGAUACAAUGUGUAACCUUGGACAUUCAACUUCCAACAACAACCAUCCUUCAGCUACGAUUCAGUGAUGGCCACAACAUCAUACCUGACAAUCUGUAAUAGUGUAUCAAGAUCAUCCACCUCAUUUCUUAUACUCUGUACACAGAGAUAUAACUCUUUGAGUGCUGCAUUUGCUACCCUUUUUGAUUCUACAUCCCUAAUGCACUGAUACCCACCCUGCUGACUGCAAUUCCAUUCUAUCAUCUGCCUGCCCUUCCUGACAAUCUCCCUGCCCACUAUCUUUGCUUUUUCACCAUCUAUCCUAUCCUGAGACCUUUCACUCCAGUUCCCAUCCCCCUGCCAAAUUAGCUCUAAUAAACCUGCUGCGAGAAUAUCGGUCCCCCUUGGGUUCAGGUACAACCCAUCACUCUUGUACAGGUCAUAACUCCCCCAGAAGAAAUCACAACGAUCCGAGAACCUGAAGCCCUACCUCCUGCACCAGCUUCUCAGCCACGCAAUAAUCUGCCAAAUCAUCCUGUUUCUACCUUCACUGGCACAUGGCACAGACAGCAAUCUGGAAAGUACUACCUGGAGGUCUUACUUCUCAGCUUUCUGCCUAGCUCUCUAUAUUCUCUUUUCAGGACCUCUUUGUUUUUCCUUCCUAUGUCAUUGGUACCAAGGUGUACCAGGACAUCUGGCUGCUCUCUCUCACCCUCCAAAGUGCUGUGGACACAAUCUGAGAUGUCCCUAACCCUGGCAUCUGGGAGGCAACAUACCAUUUGGGUAUCCCAUUCAUGUCCACAGAACUUUCUGUCCCUCUGACUAUUGAAUCCUCUAUCAUUUACUGCUCCCCUCUUCUCCCUCUUACCCUUCUGCACCAUGGACCCAUGCUCAGUGCCAGUAACCUCCUGGGAAGUCAUCCCCACAACAGUAUCCAAAUGGUAUACUUAUUAUUGAGAGGAAUGGCCACAGGGGUGCUCUGCGCUAACUGCCUAAGCACAUUGCCAUCUCUCCUGACAGUCUUCCAGCUAAUUGCUUCCUGUAACUUCAGAGUGACUACUUCCCUGGAACUCUGAUCAGUUAUCUCCUCACUCUCCUGUACAAGCCAAAGGUCAUCCAGUUGCUGUUCCAGAGCUGUAGCUGGAUACACUUCCCCAAGAUGCAUUUCCCUCCAAGACUCUGGGUUUCUCAGGACUCCAACAUCCAGCGUGAAGAACACACAAUGACCAUUUACUACACUAGGUACAGUGAGAGAGAAAACGGAAACUUACCUGGAGCUAAAGCCUCUUUUGAACCCGUCCAACACUCCUACUCUCACCACUGACCUAUUCUCAACAAUGGCUGCACUGCUUGUUCCUUCUGUAUUUUCAACCAAGCAUUGCUAACCUGCAAGGAACAUCAUCACUGUGGCCUGUUCCUAUCACUGAUUGAUCUGCUGGAGUGAGUCCGAACACCAACGACCUGCAACACCGCUGACCUGCGAGAAACCUCGUCACUGUGGCCUGCUCCUGCUACUGCUUGGGCCACCAGAAUCUUCAUGCAGACGAGAGGUUUUACAAUUUUCAGAAUGUAUUUGUCAUGUAUUGAAAGGGUAAGGUCAGUUAAUGUAGUUUGUCUCUUGUCCAGUUUGGUGAUGAUGUCAUCAGAUGCAAACAGAACAACACAUGAUGUGAGGGAGCAUGGAAGCACAAAUGAAAAAUAAAGACACGUUUCAAGUA